CUGAGAGCUCUAGAGGCUGAAGUUCUCUAUUUAUCUACAGAGCAAAAAGAUUUAGUGCAGGCAGCAGGAGUACAAAUUUCCCCACACAACUAAUAUGUUUUGACCCCAUCCUGGAGCGAGCAUUCUAGGUUGAAAGCAUAGUACUAUCCAUCCAUAUCCAUUUAAGCCUUCAGGUCU
rnacentral:sRNA from 1 species